rnacentral:rRNA from 1 species
AUGGUGGUGAGGAGGAGGCAGCGACCAACAUCCACGGCGGGUCACGGAUCUAGACGCUGGACGCCAUGUCGAGCCCGCCUCUCCUGCGUGUUCUGGCCAUGGGUAGCCGCCUUGAGGCCGAGGACCACACCACGAGGCCGCACCGGCGUGGACCGCCGUCGCCAAGAAGCAGUCACACCGCACGGAGGUGAGGUGCCCGGCGCACCGGCUAUUGGUCGCCGCCGCUGCUGCGCCGUGGUCUGCGAGGAGCGGCGCUUGGGAGUGUGUGCCAGUUUGGUGAGUGUUUGUGGGAGGUCACGAUGGUGGCCUGAGGAAGCUUUAGUCGCGUCCACCGGCGGGAUCCAUCUCGUUUUGCCUGGAGGGAUCCAUCUCGCUUUGUAA